rnacentral:rRNA from 1 species
GAUGAACGCUGGCGGCGUGCCUAAUACAUGCAAGUCGAGCGAACAGACGAGGAGCUUGCUCCUCUGACGUUAGCGGCGGACGGGUGAGUAACACGUGGAUAACCUACCUAUAAGACUGGGAUAACUUCGGGAAACCGGAGCUAAUACCGGAUAAUAUAUUGAACCGCAUGGUUCAAUAGUGAAAGACGGUUUUGCUGUCACUUAUAGAUGGAUCCGCGCCGCAUUAGCUAGUUGGUAAGGUAACGGCUUACCAAGGCAACGAUGCGUAGCCGACCUGAGAGGGUGAUCGGCCACACUGGAACUGAGGCACGGUCCAGACUCCUACGGGAGGGAGCAGUAGGGAAUCUUCCGCAAUGGGCGAAAGCCUGACGGAGCAACGCCGCGUGAGUGAUGAAGGUCUUCGGAUCGUAAAACUCUGUUAUUAGGGAAGAACAAAUGUGUAAGUAACUAUGCACGUCUUGACGGUACCUAAUCAGAAAGCCACGGCUAACUACGUG